UAUACUGCUUCAGUUACACAUGUGUCAUUGCUGGUACUGCUGGAGUUGUCUUCGCUGGAGCAUAUAUAAUGGUUGAUGUGUAUGGAUGUAGACACUUAACAAGUUUGCUGGAGUGGAUGGGAAUGAAUGCAUUACUGAUUUAUGUUCUGGUGUCCUGCAACAUAAUACCGAUUAUUGUGCAGGGAUUGUAUUGGAGGCUUCCAGAAAAUAACAUUGUUUCGAUGAUCGGUAGUGGGCAUAAGUAGUGGAUUCCC